rnacentral:lncRNA from 1 species
UCUGAGCGCAGCCAUGUUACUAUAGCAGAACGGAUCGUGUGUCAGCGAGACGUCAAGAUGCAUGUACAUGCGGUACAUCGCGGUGGUGCUGUGCUCAUCUCGACUACGUGUGAUCACCGUCUUCUUAGGUGUAGUCAACAAAUCUCUUGUCGUCCAUGAACAUCGACAUUGGUCGACGACGUAUUCGUCACCCAGUUCAUGAAAGAGAAAUCCACA